GGCUUGGUGGUGGAUGGUCCACACCUGCAAGAAUUGGACUAGCUCCCGGAAAUUUGAUUUAGCAGGAGGAGCGUGUUCGAAUCACGCCUGAGCCG